rnacentral:rRNA from 1 species
CCUACGGGAGGCAGCAGUGAGGAAUAUUGGUCAAUGGCCGAGAGGCUGAACCAGCCAAGUCGCGUGAGGGAAGACGGCCCUACGGGUUGUAAACCUCUUUUGUCGGGGAGCAAAGCGAGUCACGUGUGACUCAUUGAGAGUCCCCGAAGAAAAAGCAUCGGCAAACUCCGUGCCAGCAGCCGCGGUAAUACGGAGGAAGCGAGCGUUAUCCGGAGUUAUUGGGUGUAAAGGGUGCUCAGGCGGAGGUGCAAGUCAGCGGUCAAAUUGCGGGGCUCAACCCCGUACUGCCGUUGAAACUGCAUGCCUUGAGUGCGCGAGAGGUAUGCGGAAUGCGUGGUGUAGCGGUGAAAUGCAUAGAUAUCACGCAGAACUCCGAUGGCGAAGGCAGCAUACCGGCGCGCAACUGACGCUCAUGCACGAAAGCGUGGGUAUCGAACAGGAUUAGAUACCCCAGUAGUC